UACGUAGGGUGCAAGCGUUAAUCGGAAUUAUUGGGCGUAAAGCGUGCGCAGGCGGCUUUGCAAGUCAGAUGUGAAAUCCCCGGGCUUAACCUGGGAACUGCAUUUGUGACUGCAUGGCUGGAGUGCGGCAGAGGGGGAUGGAAUUCCGCGUGUAGCAGUGAAAUGCGUAGAUAUGCGGAGGAACACCGAUGGCGAAGGCAAUCCCCUGGGCCUGCACUGACGCUCAUGCACGAAAGCGUGGGGAGCAAACAGG
rnacentral:rRNA from 1 species